UACGUAGGGUGCGAGCGUUGUCCGGAAUUACUGGGCGUAAAGAGCUCGUAGGUGGUUUGUCGCGUUGUUCGUGAAAACUCACAGCUCAACUGUGGGCGUGCGGGCGAUACGGGCAGACUGGAGUACUGCAGGGGAGACUGGAAUUCCUGGUGUAGCGGUGGAAUGCGCAGAUAUCAGGAGGAACACCGGUGGCGAAGGCGGGUCUCUGGACAGUUCCUGACGCUGAAGCACGAAGGCCAGGGGAGCAAACAGG
rnacentral:rRNA from 1 species